CAGUUCAUGCACUUAUGGACUGAAGAAAAAAAUGGAAAUGAAGAAGAAAAGAAUAGCAAUAUUAUCAUAUGCGAGUCUAACAAACAUCUUGGAGGUGUGAAUGCUUUCUUGGGUCUGACAAGUAAUCAAUAAUUGAUGGUAUACUGGGAUUUUUCUCAUACUUCUAGCACUUCCUCAUUGACAAUAAAGCAAGUAGUAUCACAACAAAGGCUAUCCAGGUAUUUUUUUUUCAACUAUAAUCCUUCCAGCUUUAGGGACUGCUCAAUUGGAUCUGCACAAUCCAACAAAAUAAAUGUGCAUAGUGUCUGCGACACUUUCAUUCGAUCAUCACGAAGGUAGUUGUAGGAGUAAAAAAGUAUGUCAUACUGUUUUUUCAGUUCAAGCCAAAAGGCUAGGACAGGUAAUACUUGUUUUUACAGUACUUGUGCAAAAAGUAUGUCAUACUGUUUGCUCUAGAUGAUUUUGAUGAAUUUUACAACCUUAUUUUCAGUUGUUUACCCCAAGAAAUGGUCUGCUUUCAUGGGGUUUAUUGAAUCCAGGAAAGAACUAUGAGUAGUAGCGAACCAGACAUGAAAAGUUUCAGAGAACUACGAAAACUCCGGGUUUGGGGGAGAUUGUCAGCGAGCCACUGAUGAAAGUCCUUUUGCGAUGACAAUGCUAGAGAAGAUUUGAAAGAUCUUGGUUGGCGUGGGGCAACUUGUGUAUUCCCGGAUGGGGGCGCCGUCCGGUGGUAGUGGGGUGUGGCAGUUGCCGCAGCUGGGCACAACCGGGAGUCCACCUAUCCAGAACACCCAACUAUUUCAUCCGGUGAACUGCGAAGAGCUUCUGUGUGCGUCUCUGUUAUAUUUAACUACGACAGGCUUAUGUUAUCUUAUCGCGAACUCAUUUUUCAGUUUGUGCCCAACGUGACUGCAUGUAAAUAUGUAAUACAGCAAUUUUGUUCUUCCUUUUUGUUGUUUGAUUGACUCAGUAUACCAUCUCAAAUGUCAUUCCCUUUAUAGCUAGCACAUCAUCUCCAAAGAAUUUAUUUAAGUUGAAAUCCAGUAAUUAUAUGUUGAUCGCAUAAGCAGGCUGAUGGUGUCUUGGUCGAAUUUUUUUAUUCCUUCUCUAUGGAACUAAAACUGUUCUUUCCUGAAUAUAUUGGAUCGCAAAGAACUAAACCUAUGUACAAUGUCUUUGGGCAUAUUCUGAAUUUGCAGAAUUAGCACAAAUCUGAAAGCAUAUAUGCAGCUCCCAGAUGUUGCAGGCUAGAGGAAGGGCAGGCACUCAUGCGAUACCAUGUAUCUGGUUGGACGCGCCGGGUGUGGGGACACUGCAGGACAUGUUUGAUUAUCAUGUCAGUGAAUUCUGGCGAGAAUGAACCAAGUGAGCUUUUGUAGCUGGUCUAUUCAAAAUGGAUGAACGGACCAGUUAGUGUACAUAUAAGUUUGCACUCUGUCUUCCUGCUCAUUCGUGCAAUGUGUUCAUGGGAGACUUAUUUUAGGAAAACAUAAAAUAAUUUUUCUUUCUGUGCGUACUACUCCAGCUUUCAAGUGCCAGGCUUCAAUAAAUCUGAAAUUUCUAUC